AGAGUUUGAUCAUGGCUCAGGACGAACGCUGGCGGCGUGCCUAAUACAUGCAAGUCGAGCGGACGAUUCAAAGCUUGCUUUUGAUUCGUAGCGGCGGACGGGUGAGUAACACGUGGGCAACCUGCCCUGUAGACGGGGAUAACACCGAGAAAUCGGUGCUAAUACCGGAUAACACGAAAUGUCGCAUGACGUUUCGUUGAAAGACGGCGCAAGCUGUCGCUACAGGAUGGGCCCGCGGCGCAUUAGCUAGUUGGUGAGGUAACGGCUCACCAAGGCGACGAUGCGUAGCCGACCUGAGAGGGUGAUCGGCCACACUGGGACUGAGACACGGCCCAGACUCCUACGGGAGGCAGCAGUAGGGUAUCUUCCGCAAUGGACGAAAGUCUGACGGAGCAACGCCGCGUGAGCGAAGAAGGCCUUCGGGUCGUAAAGCUCUGUUGUUAGGGAAGAACAAGUAACGCAGUAACUGGCGUUACCGUGACGGUACCUAACGAGAAAGCCACGGCUAACUACGUGCCAGCAGCCGCGGUAAUACGUAGGUGGCAAGCGUUGUCCGGAAUUAUUGGGCGUAAAGCGCGCGCAGGCGGUUCCUUAAGUCUGAUGUGAAAGCCCACGGCUCAACCGUGGAGGGUCAUUGGAAACUGGGGGACUUGAGUGCAUAAGAGGAGAGUGGAAUUCCACGUGUAGCGGUGAAAUGCGUAGAGAUGUGGAGGAACACCAGUGGCGAAGGCGGCUCUCUGGUCUGUAACUGACGCUGAGGCGCGAAAGCGUGGGGAGCAACAGGAUUAGAUACCCUGGUA
rnacentral:rRNA from 1 species